AAGUCGUAACGUAGGUGAACCUGCGGAAGGAUCAUUAACACGUAUCCAAACGUUAAAACCCCCCCCGUGAACCUUCAGCCUGCUCUUGUAACCCGCGUAGUUCGCAAUCUCUGGUAAAUCCAGUGGGAGGAAAGUUUUGAUUCAGAGACCUCUGGCUACGUGCGAACAUUGGAACAGUUACAAUGGAGCGGUAGUUCUAUAGGCAGUCAGCGUCUGAAAGUGUCACAAAUUGUGAAGGAUAGCGCUUCACGAUUCCUGUAGACCGUACACUCGGGCAGGAGCUGUGCCAAAGGGUCCCCAUGCCCCCUAAUAACCCCACAGUUUAAUGUGAAGCUCAAUGUAAUACAUUGGGUAAAAAUACUUGAACAACUGUUAACAAUGGAUAUCUUGGUUCUC
rnacentral:misc_RNA from 1 species